rnacentral:rRNA from 1 species
CCCUACGGGAGGCAGCAGUGGGGAAUAUUGCACAAUGGGGGAAACCCUGAUGCAGCGACGCCGCGUGAGUGAAGAAGUAUUUCGGUAUGUAAAGCUCUAUCAGCAGGGAAGAAAGGUGCCCCUUGGGCGCCUGGACGGUACCUGACUAAGAAGCCCCGGCUAACUACGUGCCAGCAGCCGCGGUAAUACGUAGGGGGCAAGCGUUAUCCGGAUUUACUGGGUGUAAAGGGAGCGUAGACGGCAUAGCGAGUCUGAAGUGAAAGCCCAAGGCUCAACCAUGGGACUGCUUUGGAAACUGUUAAGCU